rnacentral:lncRNA from 1 species
AAUCACAAACUAUGAACUACAAAACCCAAAAGGAUUCACCAACUACUAGACCUAGGCUCUGAUACCAAUUGAAGGAUGAUUUUGUGAAAACAUGUUCAUUUGAAUAACAUCUAUAGCAUGCAUUUAACAAUUAAAAGGCGGAAUCAUGCUUGCAUGCAUUCAAAAACAAAAACAUUACCCAUGAAAUUCAAAGCCUAGUAGAUUGGUGAACCAAGACUCAACUCAAAUCAAAGUGAGUUGAGAAAUACCUUUGUAGAUUCCUCUUUGCAUAAGCAAAGGCUAAUCACCCAAAGAGAGGGCCUUCAUUCCUUGCAUC